rnacentral:rRNA from 1 species
AAAAAGCGGAGGAAAAGAAACCAACAGGGAUUGCCUUAGUAGCGGCGAGUGAAGCGGCAAAAGCUCAAAUUUGAAAUCUGGCUCUUUCAGAGUCCGAGUUGUAAUUUGAAGAAGGUAUCUUUGGGUCUGGCUCUUGUCUAUGUUUCUUGGAACAGAACGUCACAGAGGGUGAGAAUCCCGUGCGAUGAGAUGAUCCAGGCCUAUGUAAAGUUCCUUCGAAGAGUCGAGUUGUUUGGGAAUGCAGCUCUAAGUGGGUGGUAAAUUCCAUCUAAAGCUAAAUAUUGGCGAGAGACCGAUAGCGAACAAGUACAGUGAUGGAAAGAUGAAAAGAACUUUGAAAAGAGAGUGAAAAAGUACGUGAAAUUGUUGAAAGGGAAGGGCUUGAGAUCAGACUUGGUAUUUUGUAUGUUACUUCUUCGGGGGUGGCCUCUACAGUUUAUCGGGCCAGCAUCAGUUUGGGCGGUAGGAGAAUUGCGUUGGAAUGUGGCACGGCUUUGGUUGUGUGUUAUAGCCUUCGUCGAUACUGCCAGCCUAGACUGAGGACUGCGGUUUAUACCUAGGAUGUUGGCAUAAUGAUCUUAAGUCGCCCGUCUUGAACC